rnacentral:lncRNA from 13 species
CAGCCAGAGGAACUCAGGGAAGACAAAUUUAUCAACCUAAAUAAGGAAAUAGUUGUGACAAAAAGGAUCAUAAGGUCCCAGUGGAAGUUAUGCUACAAAACCACUUCACAUUAAAGGAACUCUCAAAUAUUUCGUGACAUUUAACACAGAAUAUGGUCAUUUUGUUCAACAUGUCCUAUGUAUAUUUUCUCAAUUUAAGCCUGGAGCUCAUAUUCCUCUUAGGCCAAAAAUG